GACAUGACCAUCUCUUAGUUCCAUGGGAUUUAAGUUUGUCCAGCUUUCUGGAUAAUGGGUGUCUGAAUAUUGAUCCAAUACUAACCCUUCAUGGCGCCUUCCUAUUAUAUCUGCAGGGCUACACAGAUAGCUUUUAUUGAUUAAUGAAAACAAUCAGGAAUACAAGGAAUACCAGUAAUCUUUCAAUAAACAUGAAAUAAGUCAGAAGGCUGUCCAGAGAGACAAGAAGAACGAAAAGGAAAAAGAAAAGAGAAAGGAGAGGUGCAUAGAGGUUUACUUGGAGCUCUCCUUCCCAGAUUCGGGUAUAAUAAGAUUCUGAACCCCAAAUGCUGACGACAUCCCCUCAUCCAAAAUCCCUGGUAGAAACUCCAAGUUAUGACCCAAUGUAGCAAUAGGAGAGGGAUAAGGUAAGAGUUUGUAUUUUUUAUUUGUAGCAAACCAAAAUUUUUCCAGUGCAACAGUCUGAGGAUUAUCCUUCAAUACGACCUCUGAGUGUCUCAAUUUGUUCCAUAAAAUGCUUUUUAAUGGGAUACUUUGCCCAAUGUUCUUCCCACCGUUUCCAUUGUUUCUGAGAGUUAGGAUUCCCAUGCUCAAUAAGUUUAGCAACAGGCAGGCUUGGUAAUAGGAAUAACAGUCCGGUAGACUCAAAAUAUUGGGUUCAUUUUCAUCUAUGUUCAGGGCUUUCAAAAUGCAUGCAUAUUAUUAAAUAUUAAUCCCUUGCUUCCAAGCAUUCAUUGUUCCUCUAUGUGCUGACUGCUGAGAAUAGAUAAGCGCCACCAUAAACUAAUUCAUGCAUCUCCUCUACAUAGCCUUCCCCAUUGUAUAUAAAUGGUGUGUUUGGCUUAUUCUAGAACUGCAUUUUGAUUGCUAGUAAUGCUCCCCAAUGCAGUUCCCCUCUUUCCACCUGUGAUGCACUUUUGCAAUGAAGGUCUAUGUCAAGGAAAGGCAGCAGAAGGGAGUUUUCUUCUUAGCAGUACUGAGCCAGGGGCAGCAGUGCCAACACAGGUACAAUACAGAAUUGCUUUUAUGCACAAUUUAGAGAUAGAAAACAUG